AUUUAGGAGUGGUAAAAGGGCCUGCCGCCAAGGCAAACGUCUUCAGGCAUCGUAGUCCAUUGAGACUGGAAAGAUUAGACCGUUGGCCACCUAUGUGGGCGUGUGGAGCCACGUGAUUUACGUGUAGGACCUUGAAUAGGCCAAGAAAAAUCUUAUGUUACAGCCUUUGUAGGCAUGUGCCCGUAGAUUGCUGUGUUUUAAGGGCCUGACGCUAACAAAGACGACUUGGUACAUCGUAGUCCAUCAAAACUGGAAGGGCUUGACCGAUUGCCACCACUCUGGGUGCUUGGAACCGCGUUAUUUACGUAAAGGGCCUUUAUUAUGCUCGAAAAUACCAUAUUACAGGCUUUCAGGCCUGUGCGCCCAAUGUACAGAUUUCUAAGGAUUUCUAAGAAAUUGCUGCUAAGGAAAACGAGUUGGGACAUCCUAGAUCAUUGGGACUGGAGGGAAUAAACCGAUGGCUACUUGUGUGGUCGCGUGGAACUAUGUCAUUUACGUGUAGGGCCUUUGUUAUGCUGCAAAAUACCAUAUUACAGCCUUUGCAGACCUGUGGGCGCAGUUAACAGAGUUCUAAGGGCCUGGCACUAAGGCAAACGACUUUGAACAUAGUAUUAUAUAGGGACUAGAAGGACUGUAACGAUGGCAACCUGUAUAUGCGCGUGGAACUGCGUGGUUUAUGUGAAGGGCCCUUAUUAUGCUGCGAAAGACCAUAUUAGAACAUUUGCAUGUCUGAGCACGCAGUUAGACGUGUUUUAAGGACCUGGCGCUAAGGAAAACGUUGUGGCAUACCGUUGUUCAUUAAAGCUUGAAAGACAAGGUCGAUGGAAAACUCUCUGGGCGCGUGGAAUCCGAUGAUUUACGUGUAGGACCUUUAUUAGACUGCAAAAGGUGAUAAUAAAGCCGUUACAGGCUUCUGCACGCAAUUUGCCGUGUUCUUAGGGUCUGACCAGAAGAAAAAUGUCAUGGAACAUUGUAAAGCCUUAGUCAACUGUCUGGGCGGGUGAGACCAGGUGAUUUACGUGUGGGCCUUUAUCAGGCUGCAAAAGGCUAUAUUAAUAGGCACUUCAAGUCACGUGACAAUUCCCGUUGAUCAAAAUUUGCGCAAUUUCACGGGAAAUUCUGACGGGAAAUUUUCUGUGAUUGAUUUUUGUUAUCACAUUUCUAUAUAAACAUCUGGGCACCUUCGGCACCUCUAGAAGUAUAAACUUGGGCAGAUAUUGAAACUAGGCACAUACGAGUUUAUAUAACGACCUGAGCCAAUAUUGGAGAAGCAGAUAUGUUGUUGUGGGGCCGAAGAGAAGACGAAAAAAGCUGAUAUUUGAAGGAAGCAUCUAUCACUGCAACCUACUAAUAUCAUCAACUCCAUCUUUUGGCUUCAAUUACUAUAAUGACAGUGCAUCCAAUGACAACCAAUGACUGUAGCAAAUUUUGGAUCAUGUACCUUUGGUAUCAGGAGAAACCUUCAGAUAUUUCUUCAGGACAGAUAUUGCAUGUAGCCAGGUCGGUUUGUUUCAUUUUAUAUAUUAUAUCAUGUUAGGAGCCCAGAAACUGUCACUUUUUAACCACCCUAGAGCCAUUAUGGCUUUUAUACAAGUAAUGCCAACCUUGUAGCCAGGUUGCCAUUAUGAUAACUCGUUAUGUUAUGUAUAUUGUUGUUUAUGGUCAUUCACCGCAAUAGACGAUCAUGAUACGAUCCUGCUCCAACCUGUAUAUAGUAAAUUGUAUCUGCGUGAAAAUUUGGCCUCGUGUAUUCCCUUUUUAAUCUUAUAAUAGACUAUACUUAGCUAGCCAGAAAAACUUCUUUUUUCCACAUCCAAAAUAAUAUUUGCAGGCUUGUUUUCGUAAGUUAUUGGUGAAUAUAAUUGCUUUGGGGGCAAUAUUCAGGCUAUAAAUUUGGAGAAACUAUAUUCUGUAAAAAACAUGCAAAACGGUAUCUAUUACUAAUAAAAAUUUUGAUAUUUAAUCUAUUUGAAACAUUUAGUCACAUGGAAAAGGAGAAAUAUAGAGAAAUAAGCAACAACAACAAAACAAACUGCAUUGUAAAUAGGCUUUAUUUGUAUUAUUAGAUCAUAGUACACCAUAAACAACAACAGAUAAAUAAAAUAAAAAUAGCAAAAUUAUAUCAUGAUUUUGCACAAGUAAAGGCCGCUAUAUAAAAUUUGGUUUUUACGCAGCAAUAGCUAAUUAAAAACAACACAACCUACCACAACAAGUGAAUGACCACUGAUUUAGCACAACAUUCAGUCAAAAAUAUGUAGCCCUUAUUGGCUAAGACUCUAAAAUGUUGAAUCAAACUUGGAAAAACCUAGCUGUUAUGCGAUAAACACUAACUACUUAAAAUUUUUAACAAAACAAAUCAUUUAAAAACAGAUAUCGUUAACUACAUUUACACAUUUUGUGUCAAUCAGGAUAGCGCUGUAUAUGUAUAUAUGCUAAGUCAUUUUCUUUAUGUUGGUAGAACCACAAACAUUUUCCAUGCCUGUCAGCAUAACUUCUUUAGUGAAAUGUGAAAAACUUUCGUCAUUUCACCUAUUAAUUAAAACCAUGCUUUUUUCCUAAUUUUUAUAAUUAACAUCGUUCCCAGGAAUUAUCUCGAUAUAAGAUUAGAGCUUUUAAACCAAUCAUCAUCAAGUCUUGUCGAAGUCAUUCUCCCAAAACUAGUCACGACUAGUGUUCUCGUCUGUGGCCUUGUAGCAUUUUAAGAAAUCGUUUAAAAAGUGUUUAUUGCCAGGAGCUUUGAAUCUACAAAGCAAACAUACAAGUUGUUAUGCAGCUAUUCGAUUUAUUGUAUUGUUAUCAAAUGUCUUGUUACUUGUGGGUACCCCAAGACAACACAAGAACUUUGAGUUUGAGACAGGCCUUUUUAGAGUUGUUGAAAGUGAAACUAUAAACAGUUUCAUGCUCAAACUUGCUAGCACAGCAAUAGAAAGCUCAAGAAUCAAUGGAAUUAAAAGUAAACAGAUGUACCUGAAAACGUUUUCAUUAUAAAGUUAAUGCUAUAAUUUUGUUAACUCAAAAAAGUCUGUUUAUUUUGCCAAACUGCUUUCUUCUGCAAUCCCAGGCAACACAGAGCAUAAAUGUUUUCCAGUCAUGUUUCUUCUUAGCAACAUUGCUCAAUUUCAUUCCGCAAUCAUAUAUUCAAGCCUUCCAUUUACUUGCUGCAAGUCAAUACAAAACUUUCUCAGCCUUUAGACAUGUUGAAUCCUACCCUAUCCAACCGACCGGCUACCGGGAGGCAAUAACAAUAGGUAGAGUAAAUUAAUUUCAAUCUUUCUUUACUGUAAAUUUCGACGACUUCGGCGGGAUUCUUCUUGACGUCACAUAUUCUUUGUUUUACAAGAGUCCAAAAGUCCACACUUCGGCGCGAUUCUUCUUGUCGUCAAAAUUAUUUGUUUGUUUAAGAGGGUCAAAAGGCCACACUUCGGCUGCCGCCGAAGUCGACUAUUUUACGGCAGAAAACAAGGAAUCGCGCAACAAUCGGCAAAAAGCGGCAAAAUGUAGUUAAACUACCGUGAAACCAGAGAGUUGAGCCUCGUGAAACACUCCUGAGUAGUUUAGAUAAAUUUUAACUCGACUCCUGGGCGCAAGGAACCUUUUGAUCCACAUGAUCUUCUCAUCGGCAAUUUCUACCUCACUUUAAGUUGGAUUUUUUAAUUUUUUUUUUUUGCAAUAUGUGUCCAGUCUUUAGGAUCAAUUUUAUAAACAUUUCACAUAGCUGUAUUUUGAAUGCUAAUCAAAAUUGUUCGAUCAGGCUAUAUCUUUUGUGCAAUUUGGAAAUCUGGAAAUGCUUUUAUUGUCAGUGCCCUUAAUUUAGAAUGGUUGGGCAUAUAAAUACGGUUAUGCUUCCGAUUGUAUUCCCUUUAUAUUAGGCAUUUAAAUAAGUGUCAUUGUAGAGUGAUUAAGUACAGUACAGUCUGAAUGUAAUCUACCGCGUACACGCUAAUAUCACACCUUUGCGUGGAGGACGGCAGUCGUUUGUCUUUUGUUAUAAUUAAAUCCCUUGAGCGUUUUGCCAGUUUAUAUUUGCGUGGUAAAAAACAAUGCGCUCGUGAAGAAAUAUUGGAGCAAAUAAUAAAAAUCUUUCGCGAAGUUUUAUAAUACAUUGCGCGGGAAUGUAUUGUUGAUUUAAUUACUUAAAAAAAAAAAAAAAUCCAGCGCGUUUCAUCUAAGAAACAUUCGAGAAGCAUUGUUCACAACUAUUAAAUGCCGCUUUUCGUUUAAAAAAUUAUAUCGCCUCUUUUCGAUUUUAAACUUUAAAACACGAUCUAAAAAAGCAUUUCUAUCGCCGCUAUUCGUUAAAACUUUUAAAAUUUCCAGGGAGAAAUUUGAAAACUAAUGAAUGACAAAAUCCCAAAAGUUUAUCUUCAAAUUUUUAAUUUUGUUAAUGUAAAAGUAAUCCACAUGAAAAAAGUUUCUGAUGUUUUAUGAAGAAAUCUUCCAUAUUAGCCAUUAUACAUUUGCCCUAGAGUGAUUAAUAAAUAAGGUCAGGCUUCUAUUUUCAGAACUGCUAUUUACAUUUAACAUCAAGGCAUCCAAAACAGCUCCAUUUAGGAAAGGGCUAAGGCUGGCCCAUUGUUCGUUUUAUCAAAUGGGGAUUUUAUUACCCGAAUUGUAAAAGGCUAAUUUAUAGGCACUUGCAUGUAGUUUUUUUUUCAUGUCUAUUUGUUAAGCCUGUUAUGGCAUGUUGAAUUAUCUCGUCGUAGUUCUCGUCAAAAAUAUUGCCUGAUAGAUAAUGAAUUUUUAUUUGGGGAAUUGGGGGUGCUGGGCUGCCCUGGGCAGCCACAAAGUGUAGAGAUGUGCGUGUACCCCUGGAAGAGUAUGGUGAAUUAAGUACAGGUGCGAGGAGAUGAACGACGGUGCACCACGCGAGCAGGACAGAUGACUGGGGAAAUAACAGCAGAGGGAUGCGGCGCUGACAGUCAGAGGUGGUGCACCAAGAGGUUAAUAACAGGUGUGAAAUGCAAAAGAAGCUAGAGCUCAUAAAGAGUAGGUUCUUGUGAGGUAUGAUAGAGGAAAUGGAAUCACAGGAGAGGAGCUCCGGAUGUGAUUGAGAGAUUAGUUAAGCCAGAAAACACUACUAGGAGAAGAGCUCCGAAUGUAGUGGAGGAAAAGAGCGAACACUACUAGAAGAAUAGCUCCGGAUGUAGUGGAGAAGAGCGAAUUUAUUGGGAACACGCACGUGAGCUUGAGACAAUAUCUUCUCUUCAGCCUAGCAUCCUCACCCGAUUCCGCCAAAUUAUCCUCAGUUUAUUCUUGCCACUAACAAUUGAUAGUGCUAUUACUGCUAUAAAUCUAAAUUAAAGUACAAUCCUUAUUCAUUGAUUUUGUAUUAUUGACAGCAAUUGUAGUUAUUAUUUGUCAAUUUAAAGUUGUGUAUUAUCAGAUUUUGAAAGUUAGCUAAUAACAUGAUGGAUUGCAAAAUUGUCUCCUUUAAAAAAUCCAGUUUGGGGUAAAUUGGGGAUGUCGGGCUUCCUUCGUCAGCCAAAUGGGAUGAAGAUGCGUUUGUUUCCCUAACAAAUGAGGUGCGUUUCCACGAGAUACGCCAUAGCAGGUAGUAGGCAAUUUCCAAGCGAGUUGCUGAGGUGUAGGCGAUUUCCAAGUGAGUCGCGGAGAUGUAGGCAAUUUCCAAGCGAGUUGCUGAGGUGUAGACGAUUUCCAAGUGAGUCGCGGAGAGGUAGGCAAUUUCCAAGCGAGUUGCUGAGGUGUAGGCGAUUUCCAAGUGAGUCGCUCAGAUGUAGGCAAUUUCCAAGCGAGUUGCUGAGUUAGCGUUUCCACGAGAUACGCAGACGUUUCCACGAGAUACGUCUUACUAAGGGUAAGGAUGGAAACACACGCAUCUGGUUUGGGCCCCCCUGAUACCAAACCUGACAUCCCCCCCUUUCCCCAAACUCAAGUGUAGUUAUGACAUGAAACAAGAGAAAUAUACUUCUAACAUUA